ensembl:lncRNA
CCGCUUCCGCGCCACCGCCCCGCCCGGCCCGGCUCGCGACCCCUGGGAGCCCCGGCCCGGCCGCGCGGGGUGUCCGCCGCCCUUCCCCGCUGUGCCGCCCGGCCUGCGAGCGCGAAGCCCGUGGAGGGCCGGGGAGGCUCCGGGACGAGCGCACGGAGGGCUCCUUGUCCGGCGGGGCCGCGCCAGGGCUCCCCCGGUCCGCACACGUGGGACGGGCUCACGCGGAGCGGGAUCGCCUGCCCGGCAAUGUCACCCCCCGGUGUCUCUUCUCCCCUCUGGGCGAGCCCCGGCGCGGCUGAACAACUCCGAAGGGACGUACACGGUUCUUGCCCGCGGCAGAACCGGCGCUCGCCGCCCCGCCGGGCAGGUCAGAGCCCAGGGACCGCGGGUCCCCCGGCCAGGGUUCCCCCCCAGCCCGGGGAGCCGGUCCCGGCGGGGAGCCCCGGAGCCGCGCCGUGCCCGUCCCGUCCCUCCCCCGCUAUCCCUGCCCGCCCCGGCAGCGCUCCGGGGCUCGUUUGCAUUUCAGAGCAGCCGGUUCGCCGGCGCUGAUUCCCAGAACUGCCGCACGGGGUUGGUCUCUGCCGGGCAGCGGCCGCUCCUCCGGGGCAAAUUAAACUGUUUAAAAUAAACCCACGGACAGAGCUCGGGUUGUGUGCGAGCUCGGAACCAACAAUUGCCAAACGGGUGGGGAGGGGAGCUCCGGCGCCGAUCCUCCCGCCGGGCACGGUCCCCCACCGGGGCUCGGGCCGUGGGCCCGGGGCGGGCGGGGGGCUGAGGAGUCCCCGAGCCCCGGGGAGCAGCCACGGGCAGGGGGCUCGGCUCCGCCGGGCUCCCCACCAGCCCACACGGCCCGCAGACCGGCCGAAGCACCAACCGCGCGGAUCUCCGGGGCUCCCGUAACCUCCGCCGCCCGGAGCGGAGCCGGGAGCCCCCGCACAGCCCCGGGCGCGGAUUCCCCCUUGUCCCCGGCCCGAGGGUAGCCCGCGGGUCCCCCAGGAAGCGCGGCCGACGCUGGCCUUGCUCGGAAAUCAGGGCUGAGAACGUGGGACCGGCAGCCCCCGCUCCGUGUACCCCGGUGUACGCCCGGUGUGCCCCCCAUCAGCCGAGCCCAGACUCUCGCCAGGGCGGACCCGCGGCCCGGCUGCCCCAGCAGAGCGGGGGGCGGCGAAGGCCCCCAGGGGCCGGCCCGGACUCUGCGCUUCUCCGCAGGCCGCGGGCGGGGGCAGCCGCCCUGCCCAGAAUGGGCUGUCGGGGCCGGGUCGGAGCGGGAAGGGCCGGGGCUGGGCCGGUGGGGCCAGGCCGGGGGCCCGGCGCUGGCAGAGCGGGGCUGGCGGCGCGCCGGGGGGCCGGGCCGGGCCGGGCCGGGCCGGGCGGGGCGCGGGCGGUGCCGCCGCGUUACAAGAAGCCGCGCAGUUCCAGGAACCCGAGGGCGGGCGUUGCGCCUGCUAUAAGAGGCCGCCCCGGGCCGCCUCGGCAGCUUCGCCGCCGCGCACUGGCCCCGCUCUGCCGCCAGGACCGGCUCCCGCGCCACAGGUGAUGGUGUAGCAGCGGCUGCUGCUGGCAGCAGCAUCCAGAGCACA